UACGAAGGGGGCUAGCGUUGUUCGGAAUUACUGGGCGUAAAGCGCACGUAGGCGGACAUUUAAGUCAGGGGUGAAAUCCCAGAGCUCAACUCUGGAACUGCCUUUGAUACUGGGUGUCUUGAGUAUGGAAGAGGUGAGUGGAAUUCCGAGUGUAGAGGUGAAAUUCGUAGAUAUUCGGAGGAACACCAGUGGCGAAGGGCGG
rnacentral:rRNA from 1 species